rnacentral:rRNA from 1 species
CGAAUAUUCCGCAAUGCGCGAAAGCGUGACGGAGCAAUGCCGCGUGAAGGAUGAAGCACCUCGGUGUGUAAACUUCUGUCAGGGUUUAGGAACACAAUGACCAUACCCAAAGGAAGAGCCGGCUAACUCUGUGCCCGCAGCCGCGGUAAUACAGAGGGCUCGAGCGUUAAUCGGAAUCACUGGGCUUAAAGGGUGCGCAGGCGGACCCGUCAGUGUCUUGUGAAAUCCCACGGCUUAACCGUGGAACUGCAUGGCAUACUACGGGUCUUGAACCCGGCAGGGGCAACCGGAACUCUAGGUGGAGCGGUGAAAUGCGUAGAUAUCUAGAGGAACGCCAAAGGCGAAGGCAGGUUGCUGGGCCGGUGUUGACGCUCAGGCACGAAAGCGUGGGUAGCGAAC